rnacentral:rRNA from 1 species
GGCGGACGGGUGAGUAAUGUAUAGGAACUUGCCUAAUAGUGGGGGACAACGUGUGGAAACGCACGCUAAUACCGCAUACGCUCUACGGAGGAAAGCGGGGGAUCUUCGGACCCCGUGCUAUUAGAUAGGCCUAUAUUGGAUUAGCUAGUUGGUAAGGUAAAGGCUUACCAAGGCGACGAUCCAUAGCUGGUUUGAGAGAAUGAUCAGCCACACUGGGACUGAGACACGGCCCAG